ensembl:lncRNA
CCUGGGUGUUUUCACCGGAAGCCUUUCCCGGAGCUGUUGGGUGGAGGCCACUGAUUUUUCUCCUGUGUCUGACAGAGUUUACAAGUUACCGUCUAAAGGUGUCUGUCUUGCAUGGGAGAUAAGAAAGCAUGGUUUUGAUGAAAAAUAAGGAUGAGUGGCAGAAGAUCAAUUAGGAAGCUGCUGCAUUUGUCCAUGAGAAGAGAUGAAGAUUUGGAUGUGAUUGAAAGCACUGGGACACAGAUAAGUACAAUGGAGGGGAAAAAACAUAAAAUUAAUAAAAACAGAGAAAGGCAAGGAAAAUAAAUCUUACAUAUUUCUGUAAGGGUGAAAAAGGAACUAUCUGCUUACCGCAUAUGAUAAAGGAUCAUGGCAAAUAGCCCUAUAACAAAAGAUAGGUUAACAAGAGAAAAGCAUCACUCACUUACUUGAUUUGCUUUUGAACUGGGGAUCAAACCCAGGGCCUCAUGCAUGCUAAGCAUGCACUCUACCACUGAGCUAUACCUCUAGCCCCAUUAUGUAUUUAUUAAUAUGCAUAAGUAUGGGAGUCAUAUAAAAUGCAAAACUCUCGAGUUCUAUCCCUGGUACCCCCCAAAAAAUACAAAAUUCAAAGGCAGGGCCCUAUGGUUGAAGGUUAACUUCUCUUCUUCAUAAGGGAGAGGGAAGUGGAGCCCGUUGGCAAUUUUAGAAGGGUGGCACAUAAUUUCUAGAAGAAAUAAAUGCAUCCUGAAAACACACAGUACCCUGAGACAAAAUUCCUCUGGGCUCUGGGUGCUGGGUUUUCUCUUUAGUCUCCUCCCCUAUAAUACACCUUUAGUUUUUCUUGGUUAAUAAAAUUUCAGUAAGAAGAUUGAAGACAAUUGUAUUCCUCUUUGGUCGAUCUGGUCUCUAGAUACAUAAAGGAACCUCAGGGCAACCUUGCCCUGUGUUUUGGAAGAGAAAGAGGAUCAGAGACAGAAGGUGAGAUCCUUGGCUCUACCAUGUGCUCCUCUCCAUGUUCUGAAUCGUCACAGGUCCAAAAGCAAAUGCAGUCAAGGCACCAUGGACUGAAACCUCUGAAACCAUGAGCCAAAAUAAACUUUUACUCCUUUAAGCUCAUUUAUUUCUGGUACCUGUCACCACAACAGAAGCU